ensembl:lncRNA
CACAUUCUGUCAAUCAAGUGACUGACACUUAUAUCACAAUCUCAGCUCAGCUCUUCAUGUGAAACUGUGGCACGUUGCUGCAAAUUUCCAGGGAGCUGCCCUUUUUCAAGAGAAAAAAAAGAAAGGAAAAAUGAUAUUUGCCUUCUCUCACUUGGGUAUGCAUGUAAACAGCAAGUGCAUUUCGUAAGCUUGUCCUGUGAGUGGCAGGCUGUUGUAGGUGGUCACACGUGUUCUAGCAAUAAGGCAUGGCAUAUUUUGCAGGAAAAUUUGCAGGAUGACUCUAAUCCAAGUAAAUCUGAAAACAGUCACUAUCUGUAAAGGGAUUAAGGUCCUAACCCAGCUCUUCUUCCAUAAUAUCUGGAGAAAAAGCUGUUGGAAAAUAAAGCAAAAUACCCACACGAGAAUACAGGAGAUGGAAAAUAACUAAGAAGAAUUAAAUAAACAGUACUUCAGAUGGUGAUCUUCUCUGUAUAAUGCUGUGUUUCGUGCCUUAGGGUGGAGGUGCUUUUCUGCUUCUUGAUGAGUACAGAAGCUUCAGGAUGUAGCAGAGAGGUCCUGGGGACGUUUCAGAAUAAGAACAACAGUAUCAAUAAAGAAGAGGAAGCCAAAGUUGACUGCAGGAGAAAACCAGAUUAAGGGGAAAGUUAUCACAGGCCUCACUUCUGCUGGGUCAGUGUCGGUCUGCCCCGGAGGUCCUUGAAGUUUCUCUUGAUGAAUUUGAAAUCACAGAGGUUGUUUUGUGUGUGUGUGUGCUCAAACAAGGAAUGUGCUUAUGUAUUUUUAAACAAUGUGUUGUUUUGUUUGGUGUGUUGUUCUGUGAGGAGAGUUUUGUUGUGCGUUCAGGGUGGGCACAUGAACACAUUAGAUAAGCAUGCGGUCUGAGAAGUGCUGCCGGAAGAGGAAAACAAAAGAAAAUCAGGGGCCAAAACAAAGCCUAUCAAAAAUAAUAAUAACCUGAGGAUGUGUGUAUACAUUCAGAUGCUGUACGUCUUCUGCAGGUUAUUAUAGGAGUGAUCUGAGUUAUAUUUUGAAGCUUUUCUUAUGAAUAGAGAGGCGUGGAGGAAUGUAAUAUGUUUAGCUUGUCAGAAUACCAGCGAGAGGGUGAAAAUCAGAGGAACCUUCAGAGGAUUUAGCACCACCUCAUUGAUUCAGUGGGACUUCAGCAGCUUAGCCUGGCUAGAAUAUAACCCAAUAAGUGUAAAAAAAACCACAUUAAGCCACAUAAAGAGAUGAAGUUAAGCAGCAUGAAGCUUGUUUUUGCAAUCCUUCCUUAAGUGCUCGGGGUUGCUUUUUUUAUGAGUAAAGGAGUUUGUCUUGAAAUUUGUCCAGAGUGACAGGGAACAGCUGAGCAGAGAAGUUGUGAGAAGCCCAAAAUGUUAACAAAAAUAAAAUUUCAAACCUUAAUUUUUCUCACUAAUUGCCCCCUCAAGAAUCCAGCAUCUGGUUCUUCCCUUCUUUCUGUUCCAGGGCAGCACUUUGUUGGAAGCCAUCUACACGAAAGCAUGCACGCUACCUGUUUAUAGGUUUUUUCCUCCAGUAAGGUCCCAUAAUUCUUUCUAAUCUACUUAAAGGAUUUAGCCAAAGUAUUAACAUGAGCCCGAAGGGAUAAUGUUGUUAUUCUAUCAUAGAAUAACAUGAAUAUCCUUUAAUAUAGGUAGUGUUUGUCGUCCAUACCUCAACUUUUCUAUACUCUACCACUUCCUUUUCUUCCCCUGUUCUUUAUUUUCACUUCAGCAGUAGAUCAGUUAUUUCCAUCUCUGCUUAGUCAGAUGAUCAAUAAUUCAAUACGCAAUAUUUCCCAAACAAACCCCUUAAGGACGCCUGGGAGGUCAAUGAAUACACUCUCGAGGGAUCUUUCAGUCUUUACUUUUUGCCAGCUCUGGUGCAGAGUGAGUAUGUGCCGAGUCUUAAGCCAAGUGAGCGGUUUCCUUUCUUUGACUUACUGAUGUACCCCGAUGACUGAGGGCUACUGGUUCUAUCAAUGUUGUAUCCAAUUACAUCAUACA